GCCUAGUUAGCUUAGUUGGUAGCGCGUCUGCCUUGUAAGCGCUAGGCCGCGGGUUCGAUUCCCGCGCGGGCG
rnacentral:tRNA from 1 species